UACGGAGGAUGCAAGCGUUAUCCGGAAUGAUUGGGCGUAAAGCGUCCGCAGGUGGCUAUGUAAGUCUGCUGUUAAAGAGUGAGGCUCAACCUCAUAAGAGCAGUGGAAACUACAUAGCUAGAGUGCGUUCGGGGCAGAGGGAAUUCCUGGUGUAGCGGUGAAAUGCGUAGAUAUCAGGAAGAACACCGGUGGCGAAAGCGCUCUGCUGGGCCGACACUGACACUGAGAGACGAAAGCUAGGGGAGCGAAUGGG
rnacentral:rRNA from 1 species